GUCGGCAUAUAAUUCUGUCCUGGUCCGCUUCUUGUUGGAGAUCUCACGCUGUUGAAGGGACAGCUACUGAGAGGAGUUGCAAGGUGAGCUCACAAGGGCACACGCUGAGAUCAUCUGUGUUGACACACAUGGAAUGAGGGACACCGUUUGAGCUAUGCAGCUGGCUGACCAGCCAGGUGGACCCAAGGCCCCGCGGGCAGCAUGCCAUUCUCUUCCCUUUGCCCCUGCCAUUUUUUCUGCAGGCUAAAAUGGUUCUGCAGCCCCA